UACGUAGGUGGCGAACGUUAUCCGGAAUCAUUGGGCGUAAAGGGUGCGUAGCUGGCAUGAUGAGUUAUUAGUGGGAAAUCGAGGCUCAACCUCGUGGAAGCUAGUAAUACUGUUUUGCUUGAGUGCAGAAGAGGUUAACGGAACUCCAUGUGGAGCGGUAAAAUGCGUAGAUAUAUGGAAGAACAUCAAUAACGGCGAAGGCAGUUAACUAUUCUGUUACUGACAUUGAGGCACGAAAGCGUGGGGAGCAAAACGG
rnacentral:rRNA from 1 species